ACAAAGGUUUCUCUAGAAACCAAUCCAGUGCCCUAGAGAGAAUACUU
rfam:Callithrix jacchus chromosome 5, whole genome shotgun sequence